rnacentral:lncRNA from 1 species
UCAAGUCAAGUUGCUGGACUUGGAAGGCCAGCUCAAGCCCAGCGACGUGCAACCUGCCGAGCUCCAUUUCGACUUCACGGUCGAGUACAUCGUGUGCCUGACGGACUGCGUGCUGGCGUUCCAUAAACAUGGCAUGCAGGGCCGGAGCUUCCUCAACAAUGAGGUCGUCCAGGAGAUCAGCGACUCCACGCGCAUAUUCCGUGUCCUUGGAUCAGACAGCGCAAAGUAUUUUGGGUUCACGGCGGCCGACCCAACCUGCGAGCAGGCAGAAAGGAUUGUGGUGCUGGAGAGCAGAGCAACAGAUACACCCACCGGACCUUCCAACAUCUACAUCCUUGCCGGGCACGAGAACAGCUACUAGGAUAACGGCUCUUUGCAUCUGGUGGAACCUUCAGCAGCAGACGAAGCAGUACAACUGGCAGGAAAGUUCACAACAAUGCGGAAGGUCACUCAACUGCUUCUCAAGAUGCUGCAGUUGCCACUGUUCUUUGUCGCCUAGCCAUGUGUGCAGUGAUAAGAGAGACAUGAAAUGCCUAAGUACGGUGUCUUCACGCUGGUCAAGUUGUGAAUACCAUUGUUCUGUAAAUCUUUCCGACCUUCAGUUGCCGCGUGUUUUGUGAUUCAAGCAGAAGGGACUUUGUCUGUUGAGACAGACCAAUGCAUCGACUUCUGGAGAUGGCGUCGGCAGUCCAAGUCAACAGGUGUUAUUUUGAGUGACAUGUUUCAUGUGGUUUGCCAACUGUGUCCUCUGGUUUAAUUGACAGUUACGGCGAUAGAGUUGGAAGUCAAUUGCAGUGCGGAGAUGUGUCCGCACCUUCUGCUGCGCAUCAAGACGAGAGGUAAAUGGAACAGUGGAGAGGCCUGCAUACGAUUUCGACGUCUGUCCUGGCGACGUUGCACCCGUCCCAUCGUUGCCGAGGGAGGUGUUCUCAAGUGUGCUCGACGUUGCAGCAUCAGCAAGACAACAGUCAUCGGCGUUUUAGUUUUGACGCAAGCUUGUCGUCUGCCGUCCACCAGGUGUCACUGCUACUCAGAUGCUGAGGUGGAAUUCAACUCUUGUUGACUGCAUUCUUUUCACUAUGUAUUUUAAUUUCUCUUUACUCUCUGGCAGUGACAAGGUGUACAGAGGGAGUGAUUGUUCCCAAUUCUUUUCCCUCCCAAUUCUUUCUUUUUCUUUUGUGUUUUUACUUCUUCCUCCACAUUCUCUGCCUGUCCAUGUCUAUGGUAACUCGGUAUUUAUUUGUGUACAUAUAUUGAAGCCUGGACUCUCCCUUUUUUUUUCUGUAUAGACAAAUGAAUUUACUCUUUGCAGAAGUGGUGGACGGAUGUGAGGGAACCCUUCUUUGUAGGGGUGGUGAGUGACCUGGAGGGGUUUCCGGUAGAUUUGCUUUUGUGUUAGGAUUUCUCGCAUCAACGAGCCAUCUAUGCAGCAUUGCAUCAAGAGGGAUGUGCUUCGGCUACUAUUUUCUACGAUUACACUGUAAACAGUUUGGUGUGGUGUGUUUUAGCAAUGGUGUGCGGAGAAUGAUGUUGAAGGACUUGUAACUUUGUGAGUCAUGGGUGUAUGAAAAGUGGAAAGUCGUUACUGCCUAAAAUGGCACUAACGGUAGUUCUAGUAGAUGCUGUGUGAAAUAGUAUGUGUCAGUCAACAUUCUCAAAUAUUACGUCCAAGUUAGCAACCUUUUUAUAUUUUUCAGCAUUGGGUCGUAACUUGGUUCCUUAGGUUUUGCAGAUGGAUUUUUACCUUGGUUUUAGAGAAAUAUAUCGGUCUUCUUUUUAUCUGUAUUGAGAUGUGCCCAUUAACGCCAUGACUGUUGGGACUUGCAUAGAUAACUUGUACAAUGAAUUCGCUAGUAGUCAAUUCUGAAAAUUGACCGCCAUGAGUAGGCAAGGCCAAACUAGAAUUGGGGGGGGAACGGAGGUUUCUUGGUGAGGUGACCAUUUUUGCAUGCAAUAUUUUUCAAGAGAACUCAGUCAAGUUUAAGAAUUUUCAAGUGCAAGAGGAGAACUUACCUUAAAGAACAAGCCUAAUACGUAUAGCAACAUCCGUUGUGUUUCGUACGACUUUACGACUUCAGCUGUGUCUUCUGUUGCAUAAAAGCUAUGGGCACUCUGGUUUUGUUUCCACGUGUUUAAAUUGGAAGCACCUGUAAUUCAUGUGAGCGAACAACAGUAACAUCAAAAAUAUUCAGCAAUCUUGUAGCGGAGUAGCAUUUUCUGAUUUAGAAAUUUUAUUACUGCUUGUCUUAGGCAUUCGUGUUGCCGAUUAAAAGUUGAGGGGCCGAGAGAAAUGACGAAUGCUGUGCACCUUCAGCCUGCCUUGCUUUUCCACAACAGUGGCCGAGCUUUCCCAAGAGCUUUAUUCAGAUGUUAUUAUAACACCGCGUCGUGCUUUACCAAAUUAAUAGGCCAGAUGCGAGAAGCGGUGUACGAAGUGAAGAAGGCAAAUUGAAUGAACCCGUGAAAGCAAGGCUGCAUGCCAGCUUUGAGCAAGUUUUCAAAAUUGUGACGAGUUCUUGCGCGAGUGCACAGUUGCAUCUUAUAACGCUCUUUGCAUCUGUUGUUGUUUUACAUAUUUACUGAAAAUGUCUUUGGAACACUGAAGCCAUGAUGACUUGGUUUUGUAGCAUCGUGGCUAUGAAGCCUAUAAAUACGAGGAUCAAUGCAGUGGUUGCAGAUUUGAACUUAAGCUCUUCAUGAUUUGUGGCACUUUAAAUGUUGCAAUUAGGGGCACUGUGGCGUAAUGAAAUGAACGUGUGCUGCCUUUGUGGGGCACAUUUAAUGUUGAGUGGGGAAGAUGCACCAGUGCAAACUGAGACGGUCAAAUAGUUAGAAAACACAGGGGCAGCAUUUGCCCAGUGUUGUUCUAUGUGAAUUUCUCGGUUUGUUAUAUUACGUCUUCCUUACAUUUGAACCGCUUUUGACGAGAAGGAAGUCUUCGUUUAAUGUUGAGUGCUGCAGUUGUUUGGACAUGACUUCAGACUGAAAUGCGUGCAAUAUAAAAACACUGUGUGAAGAUGAUAACAUGGCAGGCACCUGUGAUGUCUUCAUCUUCAUCUAGUUCCCAGAGAAAUUGAUGUAACGCACGUCAAGAGGCCAAGGGCACCCUGGCCAAGUAUGUCAGGCUCAUGAUUAAGCAAUCCUGAUGCAUUUUCUGACUUCCCUUCGCAAAAGGACUGCUGCUACUGCCCAUUUAAAGAGACUGUAAAAAUCUGUCUGGGAAUUUUACUGUGUAAACCAGGGGCGACCAGACAGCCGUAUUCGGAGUCACAAAAGAGCUCACUGUAUUGCUCAAAGUUGCAGCAAAACCCAAGAGUUUGAGACCUUAACAUCAUAUACCGCAUUUUGACUGCUUGUCCUCUAUGCUAUAAAAUGCUGGUCUAGUUGGCCGCUCCUGAUGUAACCGACUUCUCUCUUCUUUUCAUCAUCGCGCUUCUAAUGAGAAUUUAUUAUUGCAGAUAAGUAUCUGUGCUUUGAAACAAAGUUUCUAUUUGAGUACCCUACAAUGCAGUCCUUAUCACUGCUGGAGAUUAGAUGGAACAUACUGGAAGGGCACUACUGUUUUGGUGCACAUAUUGCAGUGGAUUGGACGAGGCUGGGUUUUGGUGAUGGGUUGUUCAGAUCAGCAUGCAUGGCUCACCAUCAGGUGAUGCCUUCAAAGUACAACUCCACUCUUAAAUGCUCCUGCCGACUGUGUGAAAACUCAGUGGUGUCACGAGGUGAAUUCUGCUGGUUGCUCCGGAGUGUUUCUCGCUCUGUGACGAAAAAUUUGUCUUCUGCCAAUCAGUUCAGAGUAGAUUCGUUCCCCACUGCUCCUUUUGGAUUGACCUGCUCCAUGGGGCAUGCUUUCAACAGUAAGUCUCAUGAUCUACAACCUCGGCAAAUCAGACGCUAGGUGUGUGAGAAGGCACCCACUGUGAUCUGGUCUGCAGCAUUCUGCUUUCGUUCGAGUGAUGUGGAUUUGGUGAAACACGAGCGCAUCCAACGAGUACUUACUCGAGGAUUCAAGCAGCUCCUCCAGAACAACCAGUGGAAUUUGCAGACGGUUUGGCAUAUUCUCAAAACUGCAAGCUAGCCUCUUCGGCUCAGAUCGCCCGUGCCGCUGUUACAAGUCAGUGAAGUAUGGUCACACAGCUGUUCUGCAGGAAGCAUGUCGCCUGUUCCGGCUAUUAACACUGAGUAAUUAUUUUUGUGGCAGCCUGCCAGCCCGAGUGCCAGUUUAAUGUGUCUGCUGCUGGAGUGUGCAAGAAGAAGGUGAACCGAGGGGCUAGAUUUCUUGUUAGUGGCUACCAGCGAAGUCAAUAGGCAAUUAAGCCAAGAAAUGCUUGGCGCGAAAUGUUUUAAAUUUUAAUGUAAGAGUAAUGGGGAACAAGAGAAAUGAAUGUGGACCAUAAGACUAUGCGCAGGUGGAAACUGAGCCCACGUCUUCCGCAUGCCGUGAGUAGCGCUGGCUCACGCCCCGAAGGCUAACCUAGUACACUAAUAUCGAAGACAGUGGACGGGAGAGUGGCCGCUACCGUAGCUCAAUUGGCAGAACAUUGCACGCAAAAUACGGCUGACGUGGUUUUAACUCCCACCUGUGGCAAGUUGUCUUGUCAUCCUCUUUCAUUUUUCAUUCUUAUAUUAUAAUUUUAAAAAAUAGGCAAUAGUCUCUUUGUGCUAUCGCUGGCUUCAUAAUCUGUGGUAGCUGCUGCACUGUGUGCAUCACCUGUCCCGAGUGCCCUGUAGAUGGUUGUCGAUACCCUGAGCGUACAACGCAUUGCUCACAAGAGGCGAUUGGUUGUGGUUUGCUGGAGGAGGAAAGUGUGUUGGAAGCAGCGGGAACUCGCACCGAGACUACUCUUGGACCAGCACCAGAUACAGGUCUGCUGCACAUAAAAGAAAAGCCAAGUGAAAAAGGGUUGCCAAUAAAACAAGGACAGGCAUAUUGCUGCAGCAGCUGUAUUGUAAUAUCCCGAGUCAUCGCCCAUCUCCAAGACUGCCCACUUCCUUUAUCUUGCAAAACGCCCAUACUUCAAAAUACAACCUUGAGGUCAUCCACUUCGCAAAAGUACUGCGGACCACACAGUGGCAUGGCUUUGACUGUGUACACUAAGAGCAUUUUGCAGCAUCUGUUUGACGAAUUUUGUUCUUAAAUUGCAGAUUUACUGCAUAAAAGGAUACAUUCGCAGGCAACUUGUGGCAUAUGCUUUUAUGAAGCACGCUUACUAUUGGUGACUCCUCAGCCUGACUUUUUUUUGUUUUCUGCACUUGCACACAGAAAUUGCCUACCCCCUUAGCCUCCCUCCCCCUUUGUUUAAUAAUGUCUUCUGAUGGAUGUAACAUGACUCGGCACAUUGCAGUAUAUGAGGCUCUUGUUGCAUGAGGCUAGCUUAAUGGGUCUAUCAGAAACGGACAGGCUGCAGGCCUACCUGUAAUGUCAUGGCCUCUGAAGGCCCGUGCCUUUCAUAUGUAGACCAUAGAUGCGAGCUACACACAUUCCCAGUGCACGACCAGGUGUGUACAUCGUCAAACUGCUCCCCAGCUUUAUCGAACAAGUCUCGCAAAGCAGCGUCUCCGUAAGAUUUAGCCAGAAACUUGCAACAGAGGAAAGAUGGGGCAAUUCACAGGGUACAAAAAAGAUUUACAAUCGCGUUGCAAGGAUUCAAACUCAAAGAGAAUUUAGAAUUCCAUUUAAUUAAGCAAAUCUCAAAAUUCUAGUUGGCUUGCUGCAUUCUCAAGCUACUUUUAAGCACCUCAACUAAAACUGAGCUUGUGUUUGGUUUAGCUACUUCAAACUUGUUGCCUUCCCAAACUAAAGCAAUUCUUCAUACAGAAGGCAUGACAAGUCAAAAUGUAUGUAACCACGUUUGAUACCCUGGCUUCUCUGCAUGUUGACAUGUGCCGUAUUGAAGUGGCACCACAGAUUCGGUAGUGCAUUUGGGGUUCUGAUGUAGCCCAGGUUUGCGUUCAUAGGGACACUGUCUUAUCCUGCGUCUCGGGAAGUAUCCAUUUAUUUCACAUUCAGACUCACUUCCAUUUAGUGUCGUGCAGAAGGCAUGCAGGAUAUCAUUUUGCUGUGCAUCACAUCAGAAUUUAUAAUGCCGAUUUUUGACCACCUUUCUGCAAACUUUGAGUAAUUCGAACAAAAAUCCGUGGUUCCUAGGAGUUUGAAUCCAUGCGAGUUGGCUUUUAGCUGAGGCUGCAUUAUAGAAUGUAAUCGAUUCUUCUGAGAUGUUGUGAGAGAGAGGUACAUAAUGUAGAUGUUUAACAAUAUUAUAGGUUGGCAAAUUGGAGGGGAAGCUGCUUUGGACGCUGUACAUACCUCGGGAAAAUUAUUUAAUUGAUAUUGACACCUUGUACAAGCAAAGCUAAGAGAGCAUACAAAUAAAACUUAAGAGAAUAAUCUAUUUUCAGUGGUCAAUAGAAUCUAUUUAGCUAGCUUACACUAGGCACAAGCUGACAGGCUUCAAGCUAUUACUGAAUUAUAUUUGAAUGAAGUGUUAAGCUAGGUCUGAAAUCAAGGCUUGCAAGCAUAGUGUAUUGCAACUAUUUCCGCCACAACUUUGCCAAUACAUACAAGAUACUGGCACCUUCUCUGGCUUUUCAAAAUAUGUGCAAAAUCUUUUCAGACAUUUUUAUUGAGUUCACAACCAAGCCAGUUGUAGGGCAACAGCGCUCCAUGUAAAUGUUUGUGAGCUUUUUUUUCUUUUUUAAUGCUCCAUUCUUAAUCACUCGAAAUAUGC